UUUGGUGCUCUCAGAACGAGUAUAGUGCUAGACUUCCGCACCAAGAACCCCCAGUGCCGUAAAGCUCGCUCUCUGGCUCACAAUGAAGGGUUAAAAAUGUGAGCCGUGGGACAACUGUGUCAUCAGCUCUUGCACUCAUGAGAUUUACAAGAACUUGGAGCUGUCCCCAGGACUCCACCUGCACUCCCAGCUCUGGUCGGUUGCGGGGUCCAAGGCUGGGAUCCCAACAUCCCGGGGCUUCGAGUACCUCUGUAGUCUUCCCGUGGAAGGCCUGGGGUGGAGGCAGAAGCAGAUGGCUUCCUCGAGUCCAGCUCAGCAUCCUCCUCUGAGGACAGCAACAGGAGCGCCUUUUCCGGGAGAGAAUGAGGAUGAACUAAGGAACGCGCAGCGCUUUGUGGUCAGCUGGCGCAGUUCCAAGUACAGAGGAUUCGCGCUGAAGCUGGCUUGUCGGCCUUGAGGCCCCUCCAGAAGUCUUCGGGAGGCCCGUUGGCUUGCUGGUGGCUCGACCCACAAGGACAAAGACAGAAGACUGGGGGUACAAGCAACAACAUCAAAAUGCGCCAGCUCGGGGCGGCCAAAGAGAGCGGCACUGAGGUCCCAGCGAUCUGCCGCAGGUGGCUCCUCGGCGGGCUCAGGUGGAAGGAAGCCGGGUGGUGACAACGCAGGAGGGACCAACCUUCUCCAAACAGAGAGGCCACGGGACCUGGGGAAAGCCGCCAUGCGUGUGGAGGCUGCACCAACUGGUCACCAUGGACCCCACCAGGGGAAGUGAGCAAGUCAUGCGCAGGCCGCAGUGCCCAGGUUAGACCACGGCACCUGCUCCAGGUCACCGUGUUUCGGCGGCAGAGGGCUCCAGCUUCAACGGGCCUCGAAUCAAAUCCGCGCUCCGCCACUCACGAACUGAGUUCCCUUGGGCAACUGACCUUCCCUGUGCCUCGAUUCACACAACAAUAUAAUGUUCAUAACUCUAGUACCUACCUCAUAGGCUGACGUGAGGAUUAAGUGAUGAUGAGCAUUUAAUGCAAGAUUUCGUUUAAUAUUUUAACAGUUCUCAGACAUAGACAGUCUUCGUUAAACAUCGGCUAUUGUUAAUAUUAUUGUGUCCAUCUUAUCCUUGUGUCUUAUGGUAAAAAGCCAGGUACUU
rnacentral:lncRNA from 1 species